rnacentral:hammerhead_ribozyme from 1 species
AUGUUGCUGACGAGUCCGGAAUAGGACGAAACGAACGUCGUGGAU